rnacentral:rRNA from 1 species
AGCGAACGCUGGCGGCAGGCUUAACACAUGCAAGUCGAGCGCCCCGCAAGGGGAGCGGCAGACGGGUGAGUAACACGUGGGAACGUACCUUUUGGUUCGGGACAACCCAGGGAAACUUGGGCUAAUACCGGAUAAGCCCUUACGGGGAAAGAUUUAUCGCCAAAAGAUCGGCCCGCGUCUGAUUAGCUAGUUGGUGGGGUAAUGGCCCACCAAGGCUACGAUCAGUAGCUGGUCUGAGAGGAUGAUCAGCCACAUUGGGACUGAGACACGGCCCAAACUCCUACGGGAGGCAGCAGUGGGGAAUAUUGGACAAUGGGGGAAACCCUGAUCCAGCCAUGCCGCGUGAGUGAUGAAGGCCUUAGGGUUGUAAAGCUCUUUUAGCAGGGAAGAUAAUGACGGUACCUGCAGAAAAAGCCCCGGCUAACUUCGUGCCAGCCGCCGCCGUAA